rnacentral:rRNA from 1 species
UACGUAGGGUGCAAGCGUUGUCCGGAAUUAUUGGGCGUAAAGAGCGUGUAGGCGGCCCGAUUAGUCCGCUGUGAAAGUCCAGGGCUCAACCCUGGAAUGCCGGUGGAUACUGUCGGGCUAGAGUCCGGAAGGGGCGAGUGGAAUUCCUGGUGUAGCGGUGAAAUGCGCAGAUAUCAGGAGGAACACCUGUGGCGAAAGCGGCGCACUGGACCACAACUGACGCUGAGGCGCGAAAGCUAGGGGAGCAAACAGG